AGCCAUACUCCUCCCUGCUUCCAUUGUUGUUGUUACUAGAAGAGAAAUUUGAGAUCUUUCACAGUUGUUCAAAGUAUGUGGUAUUUCAAACCUAGCUUGAAAUACGUUGACAUUCAUCUCCAGUUUGGGAGUAGGCCAGGGGAAGAGCUCAUAUGAUUUUUGAGGUCUAUUGUUGUGAAAUGUUAGAGCUGCUCACACAGGACUAAGUUUAUUACUUUCGCAGUAGGUUCAGUAGCUGAGAACUUUAACUCACAGGCAAGGACAAAGUUUUUGGCACUUAGUACAUGAUGAAUGAUAACAAGGAUAUUAUUUAUUAGACAUUUGUAAUGCCCUGGACAGGUUUCACUACUUUGUGUGGAUUAUUCUAUUUUAAUUCUCCCAACAAAUGCUUUCUCCCAAUUUUACAAAAGCUAAGACACAGGGAGAUUUAGUAACUUGCCCAAAAUCACAGAGCUACUAAUAAAUGGAUCUUAAGACUGAAACCCAAGCACUUUAUUGUAGUCCUUUUGUGUUUGUUGAGUGAAUCAUCAUAAUAAUCAUCAUUAUUAUUGUCCCUUUUUAAUAAAUGGAUUCUAAGAUCUGGACACUAAAUAUCUCAUAUUAUCCUGGUUUCAAUCCUACAAGACAAUUUUUUUUCUAUCUUUAUUUUACAAUGAACAGAGUGGCUGUUAGGCAGUAUUUUUGGAGCUUUAGUUCCUAGACAAGGAUUUGUGAGCAAGGGAUAUUUAUUUUGAAGGUGCUCAUAAGAAACGGGGUAGGACAGUGGGAAAGUGAAAACUGGAACGGAAUGAAGCCAGUGACUGGGAACAUAUCUAGCAGGUUUUGUUGUGGGAACCAGGAGUUAGAUCUCCUCAGGUAACUCUAGGAAACAAUGUAAAAUCUGCCUCCAAUUUCCCUCUUGGGUGGGUUAGAAACCUGGGGUACUUUUCUUCCAACUUCCUUUCAUUUCUGGAUAAAGACUGGU
rnacentral:lncRNA from 1 species